rnacentral:rRNA from 1 species
CCUACGGGAGGCAGCAGUAGGGAAUAUUGCUCAAUGGGGGAAACCCUGAAGCAGCAACGCCGCGUGGAGGAUGAAGGUUUUCGGAUUGUAAACUCCUUUUGUUAGAGAAGAUAAUGACGGUAUCUAACGAAUAAGCACCGGCUAACUCCGUGCCAGCAGCCGCGGUAAUACGGAGGGUGCAAGCGUUACUCGGAAUCACUGGGCGUAAGGAGCGCGUAGGAGGGAUAGCAAGGCAGAUGUGAAAUCCUAUGGCUUAACCAGAGAACUGCAUUUGAAACUGUUAUUCUAGAGUAUGGGAGAGGUAGGUGGAAUUCUUGGUGUAGGGGUAAAAUCCGUAGAGAUCAAGAGGAAUACUCAUUGCGAAGGCGACCUGCUAGAACAUAACUGACGCUGAUGCGCGAAAGCGUGGGGAGCAAACAGGAUUAGAUACCCCUGUAGUC